UCAGUCGACUCCUACGGGGAGGCAGCAGUGGGGAAUAUUGCACAAUGGGGGAAACCCUGAUGCAGCCAUGCCGCGUGUGUGAAGAAGGCCUUCGGGUUGUAAAGCACUUUCAGUAGGGAGGAAGGUAGUGUAGUUAACACCUGCACUAUUUGACGUUACCUACAGAAGAAGCACCGGCUAACUCCGUGCCAGCAGCCGCGGUAAUACGGGAGGGUGCGAGCGUUAAUCGGAAUUACUGGGCGUAAAGCGCAUGCAGGCGGCCUGUUAAGUCAGAUGUGAAAGGCCCGGGGACCGUUAACCUACCGGUAAUUGCUAUUUAGUAAACGUAGGCGAGGCUAGAGUCUUGUAGAGGGGGGUAGGAAUUUCAGGUGUAGCGGUGAAAUGCGUAGAGAUCUGAAGGAAUACCAGUGGCGAAGGCGGCCCCCUGGACAAAGACUGACGCUCAGAUGCGAAAGCGUGGGGAGCAAACAGGAUUAGAUACCCUGGUAG
rnacentral:rRNA from 1 species